GUCCGCGUAGCACAGUGGUAGUGCGCUUGACUACGAUUACUAAUCGAAUCAAGAGGUCGUGGUUUCGAGCACCACCGUGGAUU
rfam:Cryptococcus depauperatus CBS 7841 supercont1.8, whole genome shotgun sequence.